ACUGCUGUGGUGUAAAUAUUAAAGCAAGGAAUGAAAGUGAUGUAUACUGUAUAUGACAGGUGUUCCAACAGCUUUCUCCAGUUCAGCCAUUAUUCAUUUCAUAACACACACACACACACACACACACGGUCACAUCUUUUCUCACAUCAUACUCUGGACCAGAAUGAUUCAGCAUUACUGUGUGUGUGUGUGUGAGAGAGAGAGAGACACACAGACAGACAGAGAGAGAUAGUGUAAUGAUGUGCCAGAAAUGUGGUCCCAAUCAGCAUGUGCCCAUGUCUGGCUCUGAGCCCAGUUCUGUGUGUGUGUGUGUGUGUGUGUGUGUGUGUGUGGGUGUGUGUGUGUUGUCCCAUUGCCAUGGCCACAGGGCUGUAACCCUAUGUUCACACUAGAACGAGACAAGUCGCUCGUGUCGCUUGUAAUUAGUUUCUUGUGGGCGUGGCCUACCCUGCAUGUUUUUUUUUUUAGUUCUGACGACAACCAGUAGUAUAUUAAAGCUAGUUAAUUCAACCUAAACCCAGUAAUGCAAUAAUCAGUGUGAAACUCGCUCAUUUGAUUGAUCUGUUACUUGCUCGACUUCGUAUCAGUUUCAUCGUCGAAGUGUGGGCUGCGUACGCUCAAGUUCCGAGUGCGGAAAUGAACAAAACCCGGACCACGUGCGUCUCAGCGUCGCUCUCAGGAAUCGUCCGUCCAGUCAUUUGGCUUAGUCGCGUCUUCACAGCGUGAUAUCUAACCCGCACUGAAGUGUAAAACAGAGACAAUCUCCGCUCAAACGUCGCGUUGCUUCUCGCCGCCAAUGAGGACAUCGCAUCUCCGCGUCCGCGGUGUUGAGAGAGAUUAAAACGGACGAUUGCAAGGAGGACCUGCGGAAAUCUUCCCUUAGUUCAGGCUUCCUAACGUUCAGUGAUGCUACUACAUAAUACCCUGAAGCAGAAAAAAAAAAACAAACAAACAAAAAAAAAACACAGGAAAAGAAUUCUAUUACCCAAGACUGACCUUAUCAGCAGCCUGCAUGUCACGCAGCAGCUUACGCUAUUUAAUUAUUAGCCAAUGUUUGCCUUUUUCUCUCCACAUGCCUUCAGCCCUGUUCAAAUAAAGCAAGAGUGGAAGGAUUGGCUUAUAAAGCUCAAAUCUGAUUUAGGUUUGUGUGUGUGUGUGUGUGUGUGUGUGUGUGUGUGUGUGUGUGUGUGUGUGUGUGCACAAACAAGAAACCACAAGGCAAAAUUCCAUCCCAGGCAAAUCCACAUUCUGGUGGAUGGCUGAAGUUGAUCAAAUGGUGUAUACGGUGUCGUGCUCCAUCACCUGCAGUUCUCCACUAGGUACAGGAUGAUCUUGUCGAGGACUUUCUCUAUGAGAGCCGUGCGAAUCCAGAGGUACCGAGCUGCCUGAGUACUCAUUGUGAUGGAUGCUAAUUCACACUUUCCUCCCAAACCCCUUUCAUCAUGGGUGGAUCCGGUGGGAGGAGUGAUGCAGGGAGAGACGGAGCAUGAGAGAGAGAGAGAGAGAGAGAGAGAGAGAGAGAGAGAGAGAGAGAGAGAGAGAGAGAUUGAGGGAAGAGGCAUUGUGCUCCUUUUGAUCACAUCAUCACUCCAUUUCCUGAAUUUAUUAUCAAGCUCCAGAUCUUCGAAAGCCCUGGCCCCUGGCUGAGACGGAGAGAGUGGCUGAAAUUUAAAACAGCAGUUUUGGUAGAACUUUCUCACAUCCGUUUCACUCCAACAGCAAUAGUUUCUCAUUUGUGUUACGUAGUUGUGUGCAGAACCGAGCGUUGUGUAUAAAUAAAGUCUAUUUUUACUGAUGGAACGAAAUGCAUGGCGUCGUGACAAUGUGGAAAAAAAUAUA